AUGCCCAACUCUGAACCCCAUGACUGGUGUCCUUGGAGCUGGCAGAGAUCAUUUUGCUCUGAAGACUACAGACUGGCAGGAGAGCAUCACCUUCUUUCAAGGCUUCGCCUCCUCUGGUGUCGACAGCUUGUGCACCAGCAUGUCAUUGAAGCCACAUUUGCAGAAGAGAGCGCAAUGAGCAGAGCCAGAGCUGAGGGCUGCCUCCCUGCUGCAGGGAUCCUCCUCAGGCCAGGACGGCUUUCAAUCACUCUACCCCUGGACCAGGAAAGCAAGCACCAUGUCUACCCCAGGACAUGGUUCCUUUCAGUUCUGACAUGACUUUUUCUGGAGUCAUUAAAAAUACCAAAUGUGGUUCAAUGCAGCAGUACAGUCAAUGGCAACUGCAUUCCUCUGGUUGCUCAAGGCGAGACCUGGGAACCCUUCUUGACUCCUUCAUUCCCUCACUCCACCCCACAUCCAAUCCAUUAUCCAACCCUGUGAGCACUACUGCAAAAUACCCCUGGAAUCUGACCCCGUCUCACUUCAUCCGCAGUGUCCGCUGGGGCUAAGUUAUCCUCAUCUUCCAUCAAAAUACUUCAAUGGUCUCCAACCCGGUCUCCUCCUACUUGCUGCUCUAUCAUCUCAUCUACAGAGAAGCCAGAGUGAUCUUUUCAAAAUAGUAAGUUAUAUCAUGUCACCCCUCAGCUCAAUAAUCCUCCAGUGGUUCCCCUAUCACGCCAAAGAAAAGGCAAAAGACCUAACAAUUGCUGAGGUGACCCUACAUAUUCCAGCUUGUCACCUCUUCAGUCUCAUCCCCUACCUCUCUCCCCUGACUCACUCUGCUUCAGCCAGACUGGCUUCUUGCUGCAUCCCCAAAACAUCGGGUAUGCCUGUGUCUUAAGGCUUACAUAGGUGCUAUUCCCUCAGCCUGCCAUCCCCUUCGUGCCAAUAUCUUCUUCGUUCAUUCCCUUUGUCCAAAAGUAAUGUUAUCAGAGAGAAGUUGCAUAACCAUCCUCAUGAAAAUAUACCUAGUCUAUCUUUAAGGAACUGACUUUGCUUUAUUUUUCAUAGCACUUACCAUUACCUAAACUAUUUAAGCAUUUGUUUACACAUCAAUUUUUUCCCCUCCUAGAAUAAAAGUUCUAUGAUAGAAAGGUUGUACACCCCAUAGCCCCAAUAUCUAGAACAGUAAAGGCAUUCAAUGAAUAGUUAAUGAAAAUGAAUGAAAGAUUUUGAACAAAUACAUAGAAGAGGAAGUGGUUAAUAACAGAUGAAAAAGUGUCCAAACUUUCCAAUAAGAAAAGAAACUGACCAAUUUCUCGUUGACCAAGAGAAUAUCUUUGCCUAUUAAAUUGACGACUGCAACCAAAUAAUCAAUCCAUUGCUUUGAUAAAGCAAUACAACUGGUGUUUUCAUUUAUUAUUAGCAACCAGUCUCACUGAUGUACUUAAUAGAUAUUUAUUGAGUGCUACUAUGUAUGAGCCAUUGGGUAAUUUUCCAAUACUCUAAUCCACCAUAAGGUUCAAAGUCUAUGUGUUUGUCCAGAUCAGCUAGAUUAGCCGUGGUAACAAAUUAACUCUGGAAUCCAGUAGACCACCAUCACAAAGCUUCACUCUUGCUCACUCAAACCACCUCCCUCAGAUUGAUGGAAAGGUAGUAUUACCAUGGCCCUUCCCCUCACAUUGCUUUGCCCAGAACUAGUCACACAGCCCUACCCACCUGCCCAGAGGCCAAGAAAGGACGUUUUCUGCAUGUCCCAACA
ensembl:lncRNA